GUCUNGUGGUCNUGGGCGNCCGGNCUCCNNGGCGGCGNGNNGNAAAANANUAAGAAAACGACUCUCGGCAACGGAUAUCUCGGCUCUCGCAUCGAUGAAGAACGUAGCGAAAUGCGAUACUUGGUGUGAAUUGCNGAAUCCCGUGAACCAUCGAGUCUUUGAACGCAAGUUGCGCCCGAAGCCAUCCGGCCGAGGGCACGUCUGCCUGGGCGUCACGCAUUGCGUCGCCCCUCCCCCUCCAAUGUAGAGAGGAGAGAGGGGCGGAGUAUGGCCCCCCGUGUGCCCCCGCGCGCGGUCGGCCUAAACACGGAGCCCGUGGACGCGAGUGCCGCNGCGUUUGGUGGUUGAAUAUCCAGCAUCACGUCGCGUGCCAGAGCUGACUCGGAGGCCUCGAAGGACCCUUUGCGACCCCAGGUCAGGCGGGACUACCCGCUGAGUUUAAGCAUAUCAAUAAGCGGAGGAAAAGAAA
rnacentral:rRNA from 1 species